GACUGUGUGAAGAUUACAAAAUGGUGGAAAUUACACCUUAAGAACGAGUUCUGGCAGGACUACAGAUACAUCAAGGCCCACCUGAAACGCCUCUACAAAGACCUAGAGAAGAUCAACAAGGCCAUACCGAUUAAGAACAACGAGAGAUAUUCAGAUGGUCCUCGGAACAACUCACAAACGGCACAUGAUACCAGCACCACCAGCAGUUUCCUCGGUACCAAAUACCGAUGCACCUCAGUCUAGACACCACAUCCUCAGGAAACAGCAGUAAGUAUGGGGCAUCUCAAUUCCACCAGUGAUGCCCCCCUUUCAUCCACAGCACUUUCACCAGCGGUGACUUCAGCCACCGUAGUUCCACCAGUGGUUCCUCCCCUUUAUCCAAAAUAUGGUGUUAUACACAGGAACUCCUUAAAGCUACUGUAGACCCUGCAUUCCUUUUCAUUCCAUCCCUCACACUGCAAAUUCCGGGGUCUGCAGGCUGCCCAGGGUCCAAUGGAAUGGAAAGGAAUGCAGCAUUCAUCGUGCAGUUUAAAUGUGCCCAUGUUUAUGCUGCCAUAUUCCCAUCUCUUUCUCAUCCUUUCACCGCAGUCCCUUACCUUACCAUAUUUUUUUUUUCCCCCUCCGCUUCCCUUGAUUCAAUGUGGCGCGUUGAUCGUGGGAGCAAAUCCGAUCGCCUUUAAGGGGUCAGGAAGGAAUUUUUCCCUCUAGUGAAGGAAAUUCGCUUUUCAGAGGUUUUUUGCUUUCCUUGCGAUCAAAAAGCGCAAUUUAUCUAAUUAUUAAUAAAGCUGUGGAUUACACAGAUUAACCACAAA